GCAACGGUUCAAAAAUAGCUAAUACAACGGCUAAUUUCAUACCGUAGUAUUAGACUAGGCUAAUCCGUUAUAUUACACUAAAACAAGGCUAAUACAACGGUUUAUACUAGCUGUUGUAUUAGAUAUACUAUUCCGUUGUAUUAGAUGAGCUAAUCCAACGGAUUAUUCUUCUAACACAACGGAUAGUGUUCCCGAAUUUUUUUUUUUAUAUUUUUCAGUUGGAGCUAAUCCAACGGAUCAGCCUCAAAAAAUAAAAAAAAAGAAAAAAUGAAUAAGACCUAAUACAAUGGAUGAGUAAAAAAAAAAAAAAAAAAAAAUUCGGGAAAUGAUGAUAUAUUAGAGCCAAAAAUUAAAUUGAAACCCCAUUUCCCAAACUUCUCAGUCUUCCUUCGUUUUCCUCCCUUACCGCUGCUCCUUCCUUCGUUCUCCUCCCUCGCCGCCGCUGCUUCGUUCUCCUUCCUCGCCGUUUCGUUCUGCUGUGCUUGAAUCUCUAUCUAAGAAGACGCUGCUUAAUUUCAUUUCACAACCUCUGAAUUCUCCAGCUACUAGUGCAGAACCCAUUUUGAUAGUCUAAAAUAGGUGCUUCAUAAAAGAAGUGUUAAAGAAGCAGAACUUUGUAGCAAUCAAGAUUCCUCACAACUCUCUUCAAUUCGCCUGGUAAGUGUUCACUCUUUCAUUUCAACGUUUUCAAAUUUGUAAUCAUGAUCAAGAUAAUAGGCAUUUCUUGGAAAAGGGGGUACAGUGCUAUAAAAUUGAUCAAAAUAUGAUUUUUAACCAUUUAUAUUUCAUUCUCACGUCUUUAUCCAGGGAUAAUGGUUAUGUUCUGUUGCUUCAUGUCUUUGGAAUUAGCUUAGAAGUAUAGACUUUUAAAAUUGAAUUAAUUGGUUUGAAUAUAAAUCUAUAGAAUUCUAUUGCUGUUAUUGCUAGAAGAUUAGAACAUGGUUCUUUAUAUCUAUCUUAAAUAGUAAAUAACACAUUGAACUCUUUUUAUUACUUUAUUAUGAUAGAAAGGAGAUAGAUCUGAAUCAAGCAGUAAUCCUGUAUUAAGAAACUGAUUUCAUAUGUAGUGCAUAUCCUUUGGUACCUAUUUACUCUGUUAAUUUCUAUUUUUACCCUAAGGAAUGGAAGGUGGAACUAAGAAUUGGUGGAUGUUUGCCAAAUGGAGCGAUGAAUAUGAACAAGGAGUCGAUGAAUAUUGACAAGCGUACUUUAGGGCGCGCUUUAGGACAUAUAAUUGGAGGAUUUUGGUCGUAUUUACGACCGUUUUGGUCGUUUAUUGCCUUGUUAUGUUUAUAACCCUUAUAUUACGUGCUUCACGGGUUUCGGAUUGUUUUUGAUGUGUUUUCAGGUAUAAUUGACCGAGUUUAGUCGGGUCCCGAGCCGUUGGUGCGUGAUCGAGCCAACUUUGGUCAUAGUUCAGCAAACUAAGGAUGUUGCAAGAAUUUGCAUAAGUUGCACAAGCAGCACGGCCGUGCCACAUCUGGAACGCCCGUGCCAGAUUGCCCUCAACUCCACUGCCUAUGCUGCACGCCUGUGCAGAGUGCAGCACGGCCGUGCCAAACCAUCAGCACGACCGUGCCGAAGUCCAAGAAAAGUUCGAUGGUUCUCUGCCAUGCCUGCACGGCCGUGCCACUUUCAGCACGACCGUGCUGAUUUACGAAGAGCAGUCUGUGAUUUACUUUCCGAUUUAAAACACACAUAUAUAGCCCGAUUGUAAGGGUUAAGAGAGACAGAUUUUUAGAGAGAUAUUGAGAGUACUUCCGUAGUUAAGGUUCCAUAGUUUUCUUAGAUUUUAUUCUAGCAAAUUCAUAGUUCAUCAGAUUUGAGAUACUCUAGUUUUCCGGAUUUUAUUCAAGGCAAGAUUAAUUGGGAUUCUUUGUAUUAUUCAUUGA